UUUUCCGCCGGUCCUACUGCUGCUAGGGUUAGGACGGGGGCGUCGCCUCCGCCGGGAUGAACGCCGCCUCCAUGACAACCGAGGCUACAAGGUUGCCCUUCCUUGGAGUCGUGGAAUCUGCUGCACAUUCCUUGGAGUUUUAUUUCUGUUCCAUCAAGAUACAGGUUCAGAGUUUUUCCCAUUUUCGGAAUCAUGGUUUCUCUUAUGUCUAUCUACUUUGAAGCAAAAGCUUCUUGCCGUGUGUGUUGCUGUGUUGUACCACUUGUACCAGUUUGCUUCUUUGGAGUAGUUAAUUUUCUUUUCUAUUUUGUUGGUUGGGGCUAUAUUCCAGUAGGAAUGCAGAGAACUGUAGUUAUAUUCUUAUAAUCUGAUACUAUGAUUAUGUUCCUUA